UACAUGGGGUGCAAACGUUGCUCGGAAUCAUUGGGCGUAAAGCGCGCGUAGGCGGUUACUUAUGUCGGAUGUGAAAGCCCUCGGCUUAACUGAGGAAGUGCAUUCGAAACUGGGUAGCUAGAGUACUAAAGAGGGUCGCGGAAUUCCCGGUGUAGAGGUGAGAUUCGUAGAUAUCGGGAGGAACACCGGUGGCGAAGGCGGCGACCUGGGUAGAUACUGACGCUGAGGCGCGAAAGCGUGGGGAGCGAACGGG
rnacentral:rRNA from 1 species